GCGCGAAACCUCUGCAAUGCGGGAAACCGUGACAGGGGGAUCCCAAGUGCUCAUGCAUUGCAUGGGCUGUUCUUUGGUCUAAGUAACCAGAGGAGUAAGGGCUGGGCAAGACCGGUGCCAGCCGCCGCGGUAAUACCGGCAGCUCAAGUGGUAGCCGCGAUUAUUGGGCCUAAAGCGUUCGUAGCCGGAUAAGUAAGUCUUUGGUUAAAUCCUGCAACUUAACUGUGGGAAAUCUAGGGAUACUGCUUGUCUUGAGACCGGGAGAGGUUAGAGGUACUCCUAGGGUAGGGGUGAAAUCCUGUAAUCCUAGGGGGACCACCUGUGGCGAAGGCGUCUAACUGGAACGGGUCUGACGGUGAGGGACGAAACCUAGGGGAGCGAGCCGG
rnacentral:rRNA from 1 species